GCCUGAGUGACUUAGUUGGUUAAGUGGCUGACUUCAGCUCAGGUCAUGACCUCAUGGUCUGUGAGUUCAAGCCCCACAUCAGGCU
rnacentral:tRNA from 1 species